rnacentral:rRNA from 1 species
GGGGGAGCUAUACAUGCAGUCGAACGCUUCUUUUUUCACCGGAGCUUGCUCCACCGUAAAAAGAGGAGUGGCGAACGGGUGAGUAACACGUGGGUAACCUGCCCAUCAGAGGGGGAUAACACUUGGAAACAGGUGCUAAUACCGUAUAACAAUCUAAACCGCAUGGUUUCGAUUUGAAAGGCGCUUUUGCGUGUCUGAGAUAGGGGGCCCCGCGGUGCAUUAUCUAGGUGGAGAGGUAACGGCUCACCAGGGCCACUAUGCAUACCCCACCUGAGAGGGUGAUCGGCCACUGUGGGACUGACACACGGCCCACACUCCUACGGGAGGCAGCAGUAGGGAAUCUUCGGCAGUGGACAAAAGUCAGACCGAACAACCCCGCGUGAGUGAAAAAUGUUUUCAGAUCAUAAAACUCUGUUGUUAGAAAAAAACAGAGAAGAGAGUAACUGUUCUUCCCUUGACGGUAUCUAACCAAAAAGCCACGGCUAACUACGUGCCACCACCCGCGGAAAUACGUAGGUGGCAAGCGUUGUCCGGAUUUUUUGGGCGUAAAGCGAGCGCAGGCGGUUUCUUAAUUCUGAUGUAAAACCCCCCGGGUCACCCGGGGAGGGUCUUUGAAAACUGGAAAACUUGAGUGCAAAAAAGGAAAGUGAAAUUCCUUGUGUAGCGGUAAAAUGCGUAAAUAUAUGGAGAAACACCAGGGGCAAAGGCGGCUCUCUGGUCUGUAACUGACCCUAAGGCUCGAAAGCGUGGGGGAGCAAACAGGAUUAAAUACCCUGGUAGUCCACCCCGAAAACAAUGAGUGCUAAGUGUUGGAGGGUUUCCGCCCUUCAGUGCUGCAGCUAACGCAUUAACCACUCCCCCUGGGGGAGUAGACCGCAGGGUUGAAACUCAAAGAAAUUGACGGGGGCCCCGCACAAGCGGGGGACCAUGUGGUUUAUUCAAACAACGCAAAAAACCUUACCAGGUCUUGACUUCCUUUGACCACUCUAGAGAUAGAGCUUCCCCCUUCGGGGGACAAAGUGAACAGGUGGUGCAUGCUUGCCGUCAGCUCGGUCCGUGAAUGUGGAUAAGUCCGCACGAGCGCACCUUAUUGUAUUGCAUCAUCAGUUGGCACUCUAGCAGACUGCGGAUGAACAAACCGAAAGGAA